rnacentral:lncRNA from 1 species
AUGUCACAGAUAAGGGCCAGGGCGGCAGGGACCCUCCCCCACAGGCCCCACAUGAGGCAGCUGUGGGACAGCUUUUGCCGGUUCUGGGAGAUAAAGUGGCUUUCCCUCUGGUACUGUUUCGCACUUUUCUGUUUCCAGACUGGACAAGUUGGGGAAGCAGCUCCCCGUGACCAGGAGGCGGCAACACCAGCAUCACCAAUCACAAAGUGCCUGCAGCCCCAACCAACGCAGAGGCCAAGUCUGCGUCUCCCGUGGACUGACCUGUCUGAGGCUCUCCUUCUUCCUGUGAUCCCAGGCCUUACCUGGGGCCCAGGCUGGAAUGAGGGUGAAGGACACCUGGGCAACCUGGAGACCUGCAUGUUGAAGACUCCGCUGGACUCCGAAAGCACCAAGAGGCAAGUUGCUUGUAACACUUUGUGCUACAGUAGCCAGGGUGUCCCUAACCAGUGCAGAUGCCUUGAAAGCCGGAUUUGUGUCAGCAUGUAUCUUUCCGCCUCCUCAACUGCAACAGUUCCACUAAGUUGCCAAUGUCCCCACCCCAUUCUUUGUUUAUCUGGAGAUAGCAGUCCUGACCAGGAGUCUUUCAGAUCAAGAUCCCUCAGUUCUCUAUUGUCAUUCAUCUGUGGUUGGCUGGAAUCUGAUCUUGAGUUUUCCCGGAAGGUUAUGAGAGUGAGAAUUCCCCCACCCACGUUUGAGCAUGUAUCUCUGGUGUCUUAA